rnacentral:rRNA from 1 species
GACAGAGGGUGCAAACGUUGUUCGGAAUCACUGGGCGUAAAGCGCGUGUAGGCGGCAGGGUGUGUCGGAUGUGAAAUCCCAUGGCUCAACCAUGGAAGUGCACCCGAAACUACCCAGCUCGAGUCUCGGAGAGGAAGGUGGAAUGCUUGGUGUAGAGGUGAAAUGCAUUGAGAUCGGAAAGAACACCAACGGCGAAAGCACUCUGCUGGGCCGACACUGACACUGAGAGACGAAAGCUAGGGGAGCAAAUGGG